CAAAAACAUAGCUUUAUGAAAAUUUAUAUAAAGUUUUACCUGCUCAAUGAUAAUUUAAAUGGCCGCAGUACUUUGACUGUGCUAAGGUAGCAUAAUAAAUUGACUUUUAAUUUAGGUCUAGAAUGAAAGGAUAUAUGAAUAUUUACUGUCUUUAAAAAAUUAAUAUUAACUUUCUUAAAAGGUGAAAAUUCCUUUAAGUAAAUUUAAAAGACGAGAAGACCCUAGGAGUUUAAAAUAAAUAAUUAUUUUUGUUGGGGCAACAUUAUAGUAAUUAAACCUAUAAUUUAAUAUGAAUUAUAAAACUAUAUUUUUAAUUGUAAAUAAGCUACCCUAGGGAUAACAGCAUAAUUUAUAUUAUUGAUAAGUUUGUGACCUCGAUGUUGGAUUAGGGACUGUUAGUAAUAAGUUUACCUAUUGACUUGUUCUGUUCGAACAUUUUAUACCUACGUGAUCUGNNNNAUAGUGGGG
rnacentral:rRNA from 1 species